AUUGAACGCUGGCGGCAGGCCUAACACAUGCAAGUCGAGCGAGCGGCGGACGGGUGAGUAAUGUAUGGGGACUGACCGAUAGAGGGGGAGAACUACUGGAAACGGUAGCUAAUACCGCAUACUAUCGGAUAACCCAUAUGGGAUUAGCUAGUUGGUGAGGUCAUGGCGCACCAAGGCGACGAUCCCUAGCUGGUCUGAGAGGAGGAUCAGCAACACGGGGACGGAGACACGGCCCAGACUCCUACGGAGGCAGCAGUGGGGAAUAUUGAACAAUGGGCGCAAGCCUGAUGCAGCCAUGCCGCGUGUAUGAAGAAGGCCCUAGGGUUGUAAAGUGCUUUCAGUCGGGAGGCGUUACCGACAGAAGAAGCACCGGCUAACUCCGUGCCAGCAGCCGCGGUAAUUC
rnacentral:rRNA from 1 species